rnacentral:miRNA from 14 species
CCCCCACGCCUUGGUGUUUCCC